GGAAGGAGUGUCUGGAAUAAUGUAUGGGAUUAAAACCUAGUCUCAUUAGUAGGAUUCUGAUAUAAAGCGUGAACUUGCUUGUAGUGAGAAUGGUCCCAUGUAAGAUAAGUAAAGGUUGACUGGGAGGUAAUUGAAUGUGGCCAAGAUAUAUAUCUAAUGAUUUCACUGGACACCAUUUAUUAAACGUGGGGUAAUAAGGGAUUUGACCCGAUU